GGUUAAGCGACUAAGCGUACACGGUGGAUGCCCUGGCAGUCAGAGGCGAUGAAGGACGUGCUAAUCUGCGAUAAGCGUCGGUGAGGUGAUAUGAACCGUUAUAACCGGCGAUUUCCGAAUGGGGAAACCCAGUGUGUUUCGACACACUAUCAUUAACUGAAUCCAUAGGUUAAUGAGGCGAACCGGGGGAACUGAAACAUCUAAGUACCCCGAGGAAAAGAAAUCAACCGAGAUUCCCCCAGUAGCGGCGAGCGAACGGGGAGGAGCCCAGAGCCUGAAUCAGUGUGUGUGUUAGUGGAAGCGUCUGGAAAGGCGUGCGAUACAGGGUGACAGCCCCGUACACAAAAAUGCACAUAUUGUGAGCUCGAUGAGUAGGGCGGGACACGUGGUAUCCUGUCUGAAUAUGGGGGGACCAUCCUCCAAGGCUAAAUACUCCUGACUGACCGAUAGUGAACCAGUACCGUGAGGGAAAGGCGAAAAGAACCCCGGCGAGGGGAGUGAAAAAGAACCUGAAACCGUGUACGUACAAGCAGUGGGAGCCUCUUAAUGGGGUGACUGCGUACCUUUUGUAUAAUGGGUCAGCGACUUAUAUUCUGUAGCAAGGUUAACCGAAUAGGGGAGCCGAAGGGAAACCGAGUCUUAACUGGGCGUUAAGUUGCAGGGUAUAGACCCGAAACCCGGUGAUCUAGCCAUGGGCAGGUUGAAGGUU
rnacentral:rRNA from 1 species